AUUGAACGCUGGCGGCAGGCUUAACACAUGCAAGUCGAACGAGUGGCGGACGGGAGAGUAAUGCUAGGGAAUCUAGCUUAUGGAGGGGGAUAACUGCGGGAAACUGUAGCUAAUACCGCGUAACAUCGGAUGGGCACACGUGGGAUUCGGUAGUUGGUGAGGGAAAGGCUCACCAAGCCGAAGCACUCUAGCGGGUCUGAGAGGAUGACCAGCCACACCGGGACUUAGACACGGCCCAGACUCCUACGGGAGGCAGCAGUGGGGCAUAUUGCGCAAUGGGGGCAACCUGACGCAGCCAGGCCGCGUGAAUGAAGAAGGCCUUCGGGUUGUAAAGUGCUUUCGGUAGCGAGGCGUUAACUACAGAAGAAGCACCGGCUAACUCCGUGCCAGCGGCCGCGGUAAUAC
rnacentral:rRNA from 1 species